CCUGCGGCUUGCUGCGGGUACUCGAGUGGCGAACGGGUGAGUAACACGUGGGUGAUCUGCCUUGCACUUCGGGAUAAGCUUGGGAAACUGGGUCUAAUACUGGAUAGGACAGCUGUUUAGUGUCAGUUGUGGAAAGUUUUUCGGUGCAAGAUGAGCUCGCGGCCUAUCAGCUUGUUGGUGGGGUAAUGGCCUACCAAGGCGUCGACGGGUAGCCGGCCUGAGAGGGUGUACGGCCACAUUGGGACUGAGAUACGGCCCAGACUCCUACGGGAGGCAGCAGUGGGGAAUAUUGCACAAUGGGCGGAAGCCUGAUGCAGCGACGCCGCGUGGGGGAUGAAGGCCUUCGGGUUGUAAACUCCUUUCGACAGGGACGAAGCGUAAGUGACGGUACCUGUAUAAGAAGCACCGGCUAACUACGUGCCAGCAGCCGCGGUAAUACGUAGGGUGCGAGCGUUGUCCGGAAUUACUGGGCGUAAAGAGCUCGUAGGUGGUUUGUCGCGUCGUCUGUGAAAUUCCGGGGCUUAACUCCGGGCGUGCAGGCGAUACGGGCUGACUUGAGUGCUGUAGGGGAGACUGGAAUUCCUGGUGUAGCGGUGAAAUGCGCAGAUAUCAGGAGGAACACCGAUGGCGAAGGCAGGUCUCUGGGCAGUAACUGACGCUGAGGAGCGAAAGCAUGGGUAGCGAACAGGAUUAGAUACCCUGGUAGUCCAUGCCGUAAACGGUGGGCGCUAGGUGUAGGGGGCUUCCACGUCUUCUGUGCCGUAGCUAACGCAUUAAGCGCCCCGCCUGGG
rnacentral:rRNA from 1 species